rnacentral:rRNA from 1 species
GACGAACGCUGGCGGCGUGCCUAAUACAUGCAAGUAGAACGCACAGUUUAUACCGUAGCUUGCUACACCAUACACUGUGAGUUGCGAACGGGUGAGUAACGCGUAGGUAACCUGCCUGGUAGCGGGGGAUAACUAUUGGAAACGAUAGCUAAUACCGCAUAAUAUUGAUUAUUGCAUGAUAAUUGAUUGAAAGAUGCUAUUGCAUCACUACCAGAUGGACCUGCGUUGUAUUAGCUAGUAGGUGAGGUAACGGCUCACCUAGGCGACGAUACAUAGCCGACCUGAGAGGGUGAUCGGCCACACUGGGACUGAGACACGGCCCAGACUCCUACGGGAGGCAGCAGUAGGGAAUCUUCGGCAAUGGAUGAAAGUCUGACCGAGCAACGCCGCGUGAGUGAAGAAGGUUUUCGGAUCGUAAAGCUCUGUUGUAAGAGAAGAACGGGUGUGAGAGUGGAAAGUUCACACUGUGACGGUAUCUUACCAGAAAGGGACGGCUAACUACGUG